rnacentral:piRNA from 1 species
UGGUGUUUGCUGUUGAUCCAAAGAGAACA